rnacentral:rRNA from 1 species
AGAGUUUGAUCCUGGCUCAGAACGAACGUUGGCGGCAUGGAUUAGGCAUGCAAGUCGAACGAAUCCCGGGGUAGCAAUACCUCGGGGGAAGUGGCGAAAGGGGCAGUAAUACCUGGAUAACCUACCCUGGGGUUGGGCAUAGCCGUUCUAACGAGCGGGUAAUUCCCAGCGAGUCGGCGAGUUGGCAUCAAUUUGCCGGGAAAGAAUUUCGCCUCGGGAGGGGUCCAGGAGCUAUCAGCUAGUUGGCGGGGUAACGGCCCACCAAGGCGUAGACGGCUAGCGGGUGUGAGAGCACGACCCGCGCCACUGGCACUGAGACACUGGCCAGACACCUACGGGUGGCUGCAGUCGAGGAUCUUCGUCAAUGGGCGCAAGCCUGAACGAGCGAUGCCGCGUGAGCGAUGAAGGCCUUCGGGUUGUAAAGCUCAAAAGGGAUGAGAAAGGGAAACUUGAUCGAAUCCCAGUAAGCUCGGGCUAAGUUCGUGCCAGCAGCCGCGGUAAUAC